UACGUAGGGCGCGAGCGUUAAUCGGAAUUACUGGGCGUAAAGCGUGCGCAGGCGGUUUUGUAAGUCAGAUGUUAAAUCCCCGGGCUUAACCUGGGAAUGGCAUUUGGGACUGCAAGGCUCGAGUGCGGCAGAGGAGACUGGAAUUCCUGGUGUAGCAGUGAAAUGCGUAGAUAUCAGGAGGAACACCGAUGGCGAAGGCAGGUCUCUGGGCUGACACUGACGCUCAUGCACGAAAGCGUGGGGAGCAAACGGG
rnacentral:rRNA from 1 species